rnacentral:rRNA from 1 species
GACGAACGCUGGCGGCGUGCCUAAUACAUGCAAGUAGAACGCUGAAGGAGGAGCUUGCUUCUCUGGAUGAGUUGCGAACGGGUGAGUAACGCGUAGGUAACCUGCCUGGUAGCGGGGGAUAACUAUCGGAAACGAUAGCUAAUACCGCAUAAGAGUAGAUGUUGCAUGACAUUUGCUUAAAAGGUGCAAUUGCAUCACUACCAGAUGGACCUGCGUUGUAUUAGCUAGUUGGUGGGGUAACGGCUCACCAAGGCGACGAUACAUAGCCGACCUGAGAGGGUGAUCGGCCACACUGGGACUGAGACACGGCCCAGACUCCUACGGGAGGCAGCAGUAGGGAAUCUUCGGCAAUAGACGGAAGUCUGACCGAGCAACGCCGCGUGAGUGAAGAAGGUUUUCGGAUCGUAAAGCUCUGUUGUAAGAGAAGAACGAGUGUGAGAGUGGAAAGUUCACACUGUGACGGUAUCUUACCAGAAAGGGACGGCUAACUACGUG